CGCCAAAUCUGCCUAAAGCAGACCGGGGGACAGGCAGUGGGGUGAAUCUCGCCUCCGGGCGAGUAGGGUUAGCCUUUCAACCCGAACCCGUCAACUAACCUCGGCGGCGGCAG
rnacentral:sRNA from 1 species